UACAGAGGUCUCAAGCGUUGUUCGGAUUCAUUGGGCGUAAAGGGUGCGUAGGUGGCGCCGUAAGUCGGGUGUGAAAUUUCGGAGCUUAACUCCGAAACUGCAUUCGAUACUGCGGUGCUUGAGGACUGGAGAGGAGACUGGAAUUCAUGGUGUAGCAGUGAAAUGCGUAGAGAUCAUGAGGAAGACCAGUGGCGAAGGCGGGUCUCUGGACAGUUCCUGACACUGAGGCACGAAGGCCAGGGGAGCAAAUGGG
rnacentral:rRNA from 1 species